rnacentral:lncRNA from 1 species
AUUUCACCAGCAAGAAAAAGUCGUCAUUUACCAGAGAGCUGCAGGUUCGUGUGGUUGGAGGACGGCAUCGCCUAGAAAACUGCAUUCUUGCGCUCCGUGUAAUGCUGUGCCAUGGCAUCUGUAUUACACAACCACAACAGUCAAGGGUGGACCUGCAAAACAAGCUCCCUGAACCCAUACUUUGG